rnacentral:lncRNA from 1 species
GUAUAAAUACUAGAAUUGCAAAUCCAUUCGAUACUUUGAUCCUGUUUGGAAAAGAAGCAUCAAGAUGAAGGCUGCUGUUAUUCUUGCUGUUCUUGCUGUGGUGCUAUGCGCCAGCACUGUCAACUGUGAGUGUAUUUGUCCCCUCAGCUUGGAACCAGUGUGUGACACCGCCGGCAACUACUACGACAGUCCCUGCAGUUUGAACUGCGUUGAUGGUGCCGUUCAGGCCGCAGCGUCCGCCUACGAAAUCAGUGGUAGCACCUGUGUUGCUGCCAGGAAGUAGAUGACCAUCAUGUUUGACCACAUGCAUCAUCCAGGGC